UACGUAGGGGGCAAGCGUUGUCCGGAAUCAUUGGGCGUAAAGCGCGCGUAGGCGGCCCUGUAAGUCCGCUGUAAAAGUCAAAGGCUCAACCUUUGAAAGCCGGUGGAUACUGCAGGGCUAGAGUCCGGAAGAGGCGAGUGGAAUUCCUGGUGUAGCGGUGGAAUGCGCAGAUAUCAGGAAGAACACCCGUGGCGAAGGCGGUUCUCUGGGACGGUACUGACGCUGAGACGCGAAAGCGUGGGGAGCGAACAGG
rnacentral:rRNA from 1 species